AGUGUGAGCAGCUCUGGCUGAGGAUACUCCUCGUCUCCGCUAAAGGCUACACUCUUAAAAAGAAGGUAUAUUAGGCCUACUGAUUUUCUGGAGUUCAGCUAUCUAUCUAUAGACUGUCAACACACUCUCAGCAGUUUAAGAGAACAUGUAAGUGUGACCAGCCCUGUUCAGUCCUCUC